GUAAGAGCCUUAAUUUAACCUUAAAUGACAUAACCUGAUAAAAAAAAAAUAGCAGUGUGUGUGUGUUUGAGGGGGUGGGGGAUUGAGAGAGAGAAAACAUACAAAGUGGAAUUUCAAAUAUUUUGUUUAUUUUGUUUGAAUGUUUUUUUCUUUUCUUUUUUUUUUUUAGGCAAAGAAUGCAAAGCUUACCCAGGCAGCAAGAGCUGACGUGAUGAAACGUUUGAAGACUACCCUUAAACAAAAAAAGCCUCUGACAUCCACACAAGAUACUUCUGACAAGACAAACAUUGACACGGUUGACACAAACAUUGACAUGUUUGAACAGAAAAGUUCUGAAAAUGUACUUAAUUUCUAAGUUUCUAAACUUUUUAUCUUACUUUUUUAAAUGAUUUUUCUUUGCAGGCAACUUAAAGUUUCCUCUCUGUUUUUAAGGAUAAUGACGAUAAUGUUGGUGUGUCACAUUCAAAAUUCUGUGGUCCACUUGCUGCAUCAACUCACAGAGAGUUGUUUGAUGAAGAUAGUGAAGAAGAAGAAAGCCUUCUAGGUUGUCACCAGCCAGAGAAAGUCAUGGUAGAAAUUGAUAAUGAUGCCAUAAUUACAUCCCUCUGUGGUAAGUGCACAUUAAGAUUUGAGGUUGGAAUAAGUUAUUUUAUAUGUGAGAAGUACUAUGAGAAUUUAAGGCUGUCAUAGAGAGUAAGCAAGUGAUAUCACAUUUGUUGUCCAGUAGAAGUAUCAAUAGCAUAUACUAUGCAUAUAUCCAAGUGUGGAUGGGUGUAAACCAUUAAAAAAUUAACUGUAGCUGCUGUUGCAGGAUAUUUUUUAACACUUAAGAAAGCCCCGAGUUUCACCUCUUUGUGGUGCCAUUCAUGUGCAUUCAUCUCAUAAAAUAUUUCCAAUACAAUUUGAAGGCAGCACUUUUGUAAUCACAAAAACUCUUAAGAACAACUGGCUUUGUUGAAAUCAGUGUAAGGAAACCCAAUUUUGGCUACGUAUUGAUCUCCAAAGACCAUUGAUUCUUUUGUCAUUUCAAUUGGUUGCUGAUCAGUUGUUUCC
rnacentral:lncRNA from 1 species